ensembl:lncRNA
AAGCUGUAAGUUCUUGCAUGAAUCAGAAGAAGAAAAUGUCAAAAAUGCUUGUGGGGGAAAGGAGAGUAUGAAAUAUAAUUAGAUGGUUGAAGGAAAUGAUCAGUUUCAAGCUGCUUUAAUCAACUGAAUUGCUCUCCAUUUCUUGUACAAAUAGAAUGGGUUGUUCAAAGCCGAUACACGCUCCUAUCUUUGGGGAGUCAUCACUGUGGCUGGCACAGUUCCUGAAGAUGUUUUAAUAACUCCUCCCUGCCUCCACUCCUCCCAUCUCCAAUUAGGCAAAUCAGACCUGGAGGCCUGAGGACCCCGCCUUUCUGUAACACGUAGUGGCAAGAAAGUUGCGUGUAAGCAAGCAAGCUAUGCAAAGAAUUUGUAGAGGGCAAAGAAGUUCACGAAUGGAACGGCCUCCAAGCUCCCCAAAGUAUCUCAUUUCCAAUCUUCCUUUGUAUCAGAGAACAUGGUCUGGAAGUACAGCCAGCCAGAGUUAAAAGACAAAGGCCAUUUUCCAUGAGGGAGGGCCCCUCUCCACUACCGCCCUUCCUCUCAUAUUCUUACAAGUGAUGAUUUGCUGGCCCUCUAAGUGUGAAAUCUCCCUUGACUCUCCCCUAGACGGCCCUGCCUCACAGCUAACACUGAACUCUCCGACAACCUCCUCUUGUCAGUAAUCUAUGGACAGGUAGCCAAAAGAAGUGGGUGGAAGAGGACAUUCAGGCCGAGGGAGCAGCCUGUGCAAAGGCCAGGAAAAGAGAGAACACGCAAGUAGCUCACAAACACUGAGCAGAGGUUCCCCAACCUGGCUGCCCAUUAGAAUCACCUGGGAGCUUAGGAAAGUCCCCAUGCUCAUGCUGCACCCCAGGUUAAUGAACAGGACCUCUGGGGUCAGGACACAGAUAUCCAUGAUCCCAAGUGCACCCAUGGCUGGGAGUGCAAAAAGUGAGCCCAAGGAAAGGCCAGGGAUGAGGCUGAGAGUGGCGUUGGAAAGUAUGUGGAGGAGUACGUGGAGGAGACUCAUUAAAGUCCACCUGUAAUCAAUUUUCUGUUUUUUUAAUUAUGAGAGGAGCAUGACCAGAUGCUGCAGGUUAAUAAGGAAUGGGAAGACAACAACGGCGAAGCAGGAAAGACAGUAAAGAGGCUGCUGUAAUAGCCAGACAGGAGAUGGCAGUGUCCGGCCAGGCCUAAUUCCAGAUGCAGUAAGGAUACAGAGCACACAGAAGGUGGGGUUGAGAUAGUGGAGGAAGUGAUACUAGAAGAGUCAGGGAGUGUGGACAGUUACAUGACCAAAGGGGAUGAAGAAUGAAGAGUGGGUCAUGGCUAUCCAAAGCAGCCUCCCAGGCCUCUUCUGCUACUUUUCAAGAAGUGCUAUGUGGGACAAGCUGAUGAGACCAGCAGCUUCUGGGCCUCUGCACUGUGCUGUCGUCCUGGCUGUAGGAGUCACUCAUUCCCCACAGAUGAGAGCAGUAACACAGGAAGUUGCCCAGCUGGGGAUGAAGACACAAGAGCCUACUGCAGAACCACAGCUUCUCAGACCUUUGUACGUGCACAAGCCCUCUGUCUCACCUCCAAUAGAAAGCCAUCCAUCCCCUGUGGGAAUAUUUCUCCCGGGGUAACAACUUUACUAGGAAACUCAGCUAAGAGGCACAUUAACUGUCCAGCAGCCUAUUGGGAAGAGUGGUAGAGGGGGCGAUGUUAAGUCAGGAGGAGAUCGUGUGUGUGGACCAGGAGAAAUACAGCCUUUCAUGACAUUGAGCAUUGUGAGAAGAGUGAGAACACAUUUUCAGAUCAUCAGAAAUGAUUACCAAUUGAAAAGAACGCAGUGUUGCCUUUGCCAUAAUGAGAGGGGCUGAGAGGGCAGCUACAGCAAGGAUGUGGAGAGAAGCAGGGACAGUGAGUCUCCAGCAGCAGGGAGAACAGGGGCCACCCAGACCAGGAGACAGCAUCUAGAGGACUGGGGACAGUGGGCUAUUGCUCUGGCAUCUUCAUUUUCUGUUCCCUUCCACCCACUAGGCAGCCUUUGAAUCUUGAUUUAGCUUCCCUAGUAGACUUUCCUCCUGAAAAGACACAGUUCCCCUUAGAAAAAAAUGCAUGGCCUUUCUGUCUCAGACCAGUUUCAUUUGUUUGCACAGUAUAAGCCAGAUUUCCCCUAGAACCUGAUUAUCCUGGGUAAGCUGAAAAGCCAAAGUGAUAUGACCAGAGCUUGGCAACUCUUCAGAUAUGAGGGAUAAACGUUGAAGAAAGAGUCAAAGAUAACAUUAAAUUUCUAAGCCAGAGUUCCCAGAAGGAUGAUAUACUGCAUACAGAAUAGGAAAAGGUAGAAUCUAUCAAAGUAUUGACCUUCAGGCCUUCCCUCACCACCAACCCUCUAUCUUAAUAUCUUGUGGUGGAGGGUCUGUUGGAAAUAGUCUGUAAUUUCAGGGGCCAUAUUUCACUUCCACAUUCAUUUAAUAAUAAUUAUGUAUUAGGUGCUUACCACGUGCAGGACACUGAAAUGGAUGUUAUGAGAUUGUACAAGGAUGAAAGACUUAGCAUAUCAUCCAAGAAGCACAUUAGAAUUGCGUAGGGAAUAUAAGGCACAUGUAUAAGUAAUGGAAAAUGCAAAUGUAUUUGAUGCUGUCAGCUACAAAUAAGAGAAAAUUCCAACUUUUAAUUUGAUUCAAAGAACAAAAUAAAUGUAUUGUCUCACUUACCAAGAAACCUAGAAAUACGGUGAUUCUGCGAUUGGUUAAUAUAACAGCCUCAGAAUGUCCUCAUGGAUGCAGGUUCUGUCCAUCUUUCCCCUCUGCUAUCUAGGUACGUUGGCCUUGGUCCUCAAGCUUGUCCCCUCACAGACACAAGAGGGCCACAGUUCCAGUCAUUACCUAUGACACAACAACAUUGGGUCAAAGAACAAGGUCCGGGGUUUCCAUUUGAUAUUCUUUCAUUUUUAUGGGUAGGAAAUCUUCCUUGGAUCUUCCCCCUCCCCCUACUUCCUCUAUGUCUCACUUGUCAGAAUGAUGUCACAUGAUGGUUCUUGUAUCAGUCAAAGGCAAAACAAAUAAUAUUAACCUAAUAGCUUGGACCAAUCAAGGUUCAACACUCUGGAUCUGGGAGGGAGCCCUGAAUACCAGACAUUGACACAAAAUCUAGAUUCUAUUAUCAAGGGAAGGAAGGAGGGUGGAGAUGGCUGACAGGUGGACAAUCAACAGGAUUUACUGCAACAUGCAUGUUGUUGCUGGGACAUUUACUUGAAGCUGUUUAGUCCCAUCCCACAAUUGUUUAGACAGAUCUACACCUGGACAAUGAAGUAUCUGAGAGUCUCCCGUUACUUUGCAAGAGAAAGAGAACACCAUUUUCCCCCAGAACUGAGGACAGCUCUUGGGUAAAUACAACUGCCAUUCAUUGUAGCACCAUUUAUGUGCCAAAUACUAUAUGCCAGGCACUGUGCUAAGCAUUCUAGGCCCAUGUGCUCACUUAGUUCUUACCACAAUCCCGCAAAGUGAAUGCCUUAUCCCCAAUCACACACAUUAAAGAAAACAAAAACAAAAGCUGUGCUUCAAGGAAGCUAAGUCACUUGCCAAAAUCACAUAGCUAAGAAGUGACAGGCAAGAGCCAACCCAUUUCCACUUCAGGUCAAAGCCCCUCCUCUUCCAGUAUACAUCGCUACCACAUAAUUCCCAAGACAAGCAUGUGGGGGGCAGAGGCUUCUAGGGUCUAUGUAUGACAGUGGGGCUGGAGGGAGGAUAGUUUUAUGCCCUCCCACAGAUACUGUGCUGUUUCAGAAUAUGAGGCUAAGGGUUGGGGUGAAAAGAAGUCCUACAGAGCUUGUCCAGGGGGCGCCACUGGUUGUUUGAGGACCAUCUGGGAAUCUGAGAAUUAGAGUGGACAGGGACUUCCUUCUCUUUCUGCCCAGGAAAGGUGGAUUCUCAGCACUGCUGAUUAUAAGGGGAGAAAUAGGGCUGACUUGAAAAACUAUCAGACAUAUAUGCCAAAAGAGCCAGAGUGUUUCAUAAAACUUUUUUUUAGAAAUUCUGGAAUCCACUCUGCAUCCAUCCAAAUUACAAGCAAGCCUACUGACACUGUGUUACACUUCACAACAUACAAAGUAUUUCCACGUGCACCAUGUCCUCUGAUAUCUGAGGGGUGUUUUUACCCCCUUCUCAGGUGAUGAAACUCAGCCUGUAGACCAGCUCUGUCCCUGAGAACUUUCCAUGAUGAUGGAAAUCUGCACCUUCCUGCCCAGUAUAGUAGCCACAAGCCACAUGUAGCUACUGAGCACGUGAAAUGUGACUAGUGUGACUGAGGAAUUGAAUUUUUCAGUUUUAACUAAUUGUAGUUUAAAUUUAAAAAGCCAUACGUGGCUAGUGGCUUCCAUAGCGAAUGGUGCAGUUGUAGAUGUUGAGUGACGUACCCAAGUUAAUUGCUUUAGUAAGCUUGACUCCUCUAUUUAUGGUAACAGAUUGCGACAGGAAAUCUUCCUGGGUUCCUUGAGUUAAUCAUCAACCGGAUUUAAAUGCUGGAAAUUAAAUUCUGUUGUGAAAACUUCUCAAGUAUGAAUUUGAUAAGGGGAAAGGACCAAAAAUAGUUGAAAUGAACUUUCCCUUAUGUCAGUUCAGUUUGAAUUUGUUGGACAAUGGGAGCAUAUUUAUUCCAUCACCUGAGUGAAGUUUUCCACUUAGGUUAUGGGUAAAAGAAUGAGCUUCUAAACCCAAUAACGCAGGCAAUUGCAUAAGAUGGCCUAUUCGUUGAGGGGCAUGGCCAUAACUGUCCUUCACCUUCUGGGAGAAAAAACAGAAUGAGAGUCUCUCUGGCAAUUCACUCUGGUAACCACAAAUUCCAGAAGGUUCUAGGCAUCAAACAGAAAUCUUUAUGUGACAAUAUUCCUGCUUGUCAACACUGGUUGGGCCUGCGGAGGGGAUGUAGGGAGAGCAGGAGAAGAACUACAGGAAGGCACGAGCUUUCAUCGGUGAACUCCCAUGCUUUGACGGGAAAGAGGAGUAAAGGGUUAGAGCAAGUCCCCAGGGAAAACAUUUCACCUAUUUUGGGGGUGUAAAUAUGGUCGUCUACUAAUUUAAACAAAUACUUCAUCUUGUGAUGUGAUGAGGACCGUUGUCCCAGACUUUGUAAUGCCUUAGAUACUGCUGCUUUAUUUGGACUCUGCCUACUAAGGAAUUUUGGAAAUGGUUGAGAAAAUCUGCCAAUGACAACAUCCACACCUCCCACCCAACCAUGACCUUCAGGAGGCCUGGGUUGCCCUGUUGCGUGAAGUUGAGGGAUUCUCAGCCUGCCUUCAGAUAGGUCCCUUCCUUCCUGGACAGAUAGAAGGGUAGGUUAGCCGGGCAGGUGACCCUCACCUCCACCCCGGAUUUAGUCAGAAACUUCAUUUCAUCAUCAUUAUUAAUAGCUGGGUGUGCUGAUGUUUCCUGAAGAACAUGAUAACAGCCACACAGAAUCAGAAGGAAACAAAUCCAUGAGUCAGCACUUUUCCCUCCUAUUUGACAGUUGUGGAGAGGUUCCUGUCUGACCUAAGGAUAUCUGUGGGGCCUGGGACUCUUGCCCAAUGUCUGCUUGAAGAUCUCAUAUUGUGAGCAAUAAGGGCACGCAGCCACUGGAAUUCAUAGGCAUAGCAGACGGUCUGUGUGUGAUGCCACUCUUUAGCCAUCUAGCUACCUAAAGCUGACGAGCAGAACUGCCUCCUUAACUUAAUUACAGGGCCAUGUCUGUUUCCUGAAUUCCAAUUAUUUUGCCAAAGAGAGGGAACCUAAUGUUUACUGAGAAUUGUGUUUGAGGUCUCUCCACACAUCUCAGAUUAGCCUCUUUAUCUCCCUGUGAGAUCAGAAAUAUUAACCUAGGUUAGAGAUGGGGAAGCUGAGGUUCAGAAAGGGUAAGUAAUUAGCCCAAGAUCACAAAGCUAAUUAGAGGGAGAGUCAAAAUUCAAACCCUGACCCAUCAGUCUUCUAGUUCCAAACUGCCACUUCAGGCAGCAUGAUCUAAAUGGAAACAGAGUGUCCACUGUUAUAGACUGAACUCUGUCCCCCAAGAUUCAUAUGUUAAAGCCCUAGCCCCCAAUGUGACUGUCCUUGGAGAUACAGCCUUUUGGGAGGUCAGUAAGAUUAAAUGAGGUCAUAAGGGUGGGCCCUAAUCCAAUAGGACUGAUGUUCUUAUAAGAAGAGGAAGAGACACCAGAGAUCUCUCCCUCUCCAUGCGCACAGAGAAGAAGCCAUGUGAAGAUAUAAAGAGAAGAGAAGACAGUCAUCCACAAGCGAGGAAGAAAGUCUCACCAGAAAUCAACCCUUUGGGCACCUUGAUCUCAGACUUUUAGCCUCCAGAACUGUGAGAAAAUACAUGUCUGUUCUUUAAGCCACCCAGUCUAUGGUACUUUGUUAUGGCAGCCCUAGCAGACUAAUACAACCAGCUUGGGGCCUUGAAGACUUUAUCUUCAAAACUCCUCAUGUAACACUCAGAAAAACACCACGCCCUAAAUCCACAUCCCACAACUUCUUAUCACUUCCUUAUCACUUACCUGCAUCUCCAGCAGGAUCAGGACUAGGGUGAGAUGGGUGAGGCACUUUUCCAGGGCACAAAAAACACAGUAAUCUCCCAGGUACACCCCAAAACUCAGCAAUUAAGAUAAAUAACACUUCAAUGAAAUAUUUUUUAAAAUCAAAAUUAAUGCAAAAAAUCCAUGAGCUUUGGCUACUUUGCAGUUUUGCCCACAACUAGCCAUGGUUGAGAGCUUUUUCUCCAUGACUUUAUCAUGUAAGUGGAAUUCCUGUGAAUGAACCCCAAACUCCAUACUUGGGAUAAAGGAACUAUCCUUUUUCCCCAUGACAGAUUAUUAUAAGCUGUUAAUAAGAAACAACAAGUUUAGGCUAAGUGCUGGCUGUGUUACAGAUUUUGUCCUGAGUGCAGAGUGUUCAAUAAUGAACACAGGAGAUGAAGUCAGCCACAUGGAGAUGGCAGUCUGCAGAGGGACAGAAACAAGUAAAGGACAGUAACAGUCGACAGUGCUCAGGCUCCAAGUGAGCACAUGCAAAGGAGAGUGGACCAUGGAAGCAGGCAGAAGACAUCUAAGCCUGACUGAGGGCUUCAGGAAAAGGUGUCAUGGGGAAAGUGUCAUCUCCAUUUAUCAAAUGCCAGAGGCAGGGAAAUAUGGCUCCAAGCAGAGGAGAAAUGUGUGUAAAUCCUCAGAGAGGCUGCUGUUUACUGAGUACUUACCAUUAGUUGACAAACCACAAGCAUCAUGGCAUUGAAAGCUUGUGACAUCCUCUAAGAUAGGUGUACUACUUUCUUGCACAUCCCCAUCUAACCCAUCACCAAAUUCUGUUGGUUCCACCUUCAAAAUAAAGAAUCCAACCACCUCUUGACAAAUUCAUUUCCACCCCCAAGUCUGAGACUCCUAAUUGGUCUGCUGGCUUCCUCCUUCGCCUUCUUCAGUCAUUUCUCAAUUCCAAUGCCAGAGCCAUCUUUCUGAACCAUAAAUGUGAUUAUGCUACUUCUCUGGCCCAAACCUUCCAAUUGCUUCUCAUUCUCACUCACAGUAAAGUCCAAGAAGUCAAGUAACCUGCCCUGCAAAACCCUCUUCCUGUUAGCUCUCUCACCUCAUCUCUUUAUAACAACUCUAUAAUUGACUGACUUUGUUUACUGUUUGUAUUCUCCACCAACUGCCCAAACAACCACCAAAAAAACCUGUUGAUGAAGUCAAGUUAAGUUUAUUAGAUUUACUGCAGUAAGGAAGGAGACCAUCUUGACAGAAUCUUACUAAUAUUUAAAAAUGAGAAGUUCGAGCAGGCAAUUUGUAGGGGUUUAGGGCUUGGGCUAGGUGAUGUUAAGAAUGAUCUCGCAAGGUGGGGAAUGGAUCAGAAUCGGACAAUUUAUGACAUAUUAGCUUGGGAUUGGUAGGAAAAUUGAGGUCAGGGUCUUGUAGGGCUUGUUAAAUAAACUAUUAGUCUUGAUUGACAAGCCUUAUUUCUUACUAUUGUGUAACACGUGACCGAGAAUUCUUUCUGCUUCAGUUCUCACCCCACUAGAAAGUGAGCUCCAGGGGGGAAUGGGUUUAUUUUCCUGUUUUGUUAACUUGUAUCCCAUCACAGAGACGAAUGCAUGUAAGUUCAGAGUAGGCAUCAAUAAAUGUUUGUUGUAUGAAGGAAUGAAUGUUGUUAUUCUGAUUUUUAAAAUAAGGAAACUGAA